rnacentral:lncRNA from 1 species
AGGGUCGGAAACAUUGAAAUUAAAAGCUUGAAGAUCAAAAUGAAAUAUGAUUUGAAGUUUAGGGAUAACUAAUCAACUGUCUCUAGAGCAAGUGGUUAAAAGCUGGGUGGUUGGUAACUGAGGUCUGAAAUUUGAAUUCUAAUUGAUUUAGAUUUCUAGCUAAAUUUAUUUUAAAUGAAAUAAACGAAACAAAGCCAAUUAGGGGAAAAAGAAUCAGAAAAAAUAAUAAA